UAUCAGAUGUGGGUUUCGAACCCACGCCCCCUAUCUUGAGAACCAGAACUUAAGUCUGGCGUCUUAAACCACUCAGCCAAUCUGAC